rnacentral:rRNA from 1 species
CUCGAUGAGUAGGGCGGGACACGUGGUAUCCUGUCUGAAUAUGGGGGGACCAUCCUCCAAGGCUAAAUACUCCUGACUGACCGAUAGUGAACCAGUACCGUGAGGGAAAGGCGAAAAGAACCCCGGCGAGGGGAGUGAAAAAGAACCUGAAACCGUGUACGUACAAGCAGUGGGAGCACGCUUAGGCGUGUGACUGCGUACCUUUUGUAUAAUGGGUCAGCGACUUAUAUUCUGUAGCAAGGUUAACCGAAUAGGGGAGCCGAAGGGAAACCGAGUCUUAACUGGGCGUUAAGUUGCAGGGUAUAGACCCGAAACCCGGUGAUCUAGCCAUGGGCAGGUUGAAGGUUGGGUAACACUAACUGGAGGACCGAACCGACUAAUGUUGAAAAAUUAGCGGAUGACUUGUGGCUGGGGGUGAAAGGCCAAUCAAACCGGGAGAUAGCUGGUUCUCCCCGAAAGCUAUUUAGGUAGCGCCUCGUGAAUUCAUCUCCGGGGGUAGAGCACUGUUUCGGCAAGGGGGUCAUCCCGACUUACCAACCCGAUGCAAACUGCGAAUACCGGAGAAUGUUAUCACGGGAGACACACGGCGGGUGCUAACGUCCGUCGUGAAGAGGGAAACAACCCAGACCGCCAGCUAAGGUCCCAAAGUCAUGGUUAAGUGGGAAACGAUGUGGGAAGGCCCAGACAGCCAGGAUGUUGGCUUAGAAGCAGCCAUCAUUUAAAGAAAGCGUAAUAGCUCACUGGUCGAGUCGGCCUGCGCGGAAGAUGUAACGGGGCUAAACCAUGCACCGAAGCUGCGGCAGCGACGCUGAUGCGUUGUUGGGUAGGGGAGCGUUCUGUAAGCCUGUGAAGGUGUGCUGUGAGGCAUGCUGGAGGUAUCAGAAGUGCGAAUGCUGACAUAAGUAACGAUAAAGCGGGUGAAAAGCCCGCUCGCCGGAAGACCAAGGGUUCCUGUCCAACGUUAAUCGGGGCAGGGUGAGUCGACCCCUAAGGCGAGGCCGAAAGGCGUAGUCGAUGGGAAACAGGUUAAUAUUCCUGUACUUGGUGUUACUGCGAAGGGGGGACGGAGAAGGCUAUGUUGGCCGGGCGACGGUUGUCCCGGUUUAAGCGUGUAGGCUGGUUUUCCAGGCAAAUCCGGAAAAUCAAGGCUGAGGCGUGAUGACGAGGCACUACGGUGCUGAAGCAACAAAUGCCCUGCUUCCAGGAAAAGCCUCUAAGCAUCAGGUAACAUCAAAUCGUACCCCAAACCGACACAGGUGGUCAGGUAGAGAAUACCAAGGCGCUUGAGAGAACUCGGGUGAAGGAACUAGGCAAAAUGGUGCCGUAACUUCGGGAGAAGGCACGCUGAUAUGUAGGUGAAGCGACUUGCUCGUGGAGCUGAAAUCAGUCGAAGAUACCAGCUGGCUGCAACUGUUUAUUAAAAACACAGCACUGUGCAAACACGAAAGUGGACGUAUACGGUGUGACGCCUGCCCGGUGCCGGAAGGUUAAUUGAUGGGGUCAGCGCAAGCGAAGCUCUUGAUCGAAGCCCCGGUAAACGGCGGCCGUAACUAUAACGGUCCUAAGGUAGCGAAAUUCCUUGUCGGGUAAGUUCCGACCUGCACGAAUGGCGUAAUGAUGGCCAGGCUGUCUCCACCCGAGACUCAGUGAAAUUGAACUCGCUGUGAAGAUGCAGUGUACCCGCGGCAAGACGGAAAGACCCCGUGAACCUUUACUAUAGCUUGACACUGAACAUUGAGCCUUGAUGUGUAGGAUAGGUGGGAGGCUUUGAAGUGUGG